UAUGGCGGCCAGGCCUGGGAAGCCUCGAGGCCGCCUGGCGCCGUGGGGUCACUCUUCCUGAUGCCACAAGUCACAAAGGCAGGAAGGGAGGCUUGGGAGCUGACAGGGGCCAACCCUAGGUCUCGCAGGUGGUCGUGGGCAAGCCCACCCGUCUGAGGGAACCGCUGCUGAGACCAAGCGAGGAGGAAGAAAAUGUCCAGGGCCUGGAGGUAGAGGGCCGGGACCCUGAGGCGAGAGAGGGCCUACGGCCCCGAUGCAGAGGAGCAGUCCCAGAUGGAUAAGGAGUUGAGGCCCCAGGGAUGCUGCGCCCUGCCGAAGUAGAAGGCACUGGCCACCAGAAUCUGAAACCUCACAUCACUCACACGAGGGGGUUUCAAAGCUGAAACCCCAGAUCAGCCGUGGGACCUGAGACACCGCAGAAGGGCGUCCAGAUGUUUGAGGAGCUAACAUGAACGGCAGCUGGCGGGCCGGCCACGGGGACCGGAGGAACCUGGCUCUUUGUUCUCGGUGUCCUCGGAGCCUCAGCAGCCAUGUCCCCGCUGCGGCUCGGGCAGCCCCGUGGCACCGCGGAGCCUCAUGGGUGCCCCUUGAUCUGACAUCUCCACGCGUCAGCCUCUUCUCGACGGGAGUUUCACCUUUGCUCUGAGGGAAAGGUUUGCUACGAACACAGGUUUGUACAAACUCGGCCUUAGGAGGUGAAGCCCGAUCUUCGCCUCCACUGGAACCUAGCUAUUUGGGAGGGUUUCUGGGCCGCGUUCUCUGCAAGCGUC